GAUGAACGCUGGCGGCGUGCCUAAUACAUGCAAGUCGAGCGAACAGAUGAGGAGCUUGCUCCUCUGACGUUAGCGGCGGACGGGUGAGUAACACGUGGAUAACCUACCUAUAAGACUGGGAUAACUUCGGGAAACCGGAGCUAAUACCGGAUAAUAUAUUGAACCGCAUGGUUCAAUAGUGAAAGACGGUUUUGCUGUCCCUUAUAGAUCGAUCCGCGCCGCAUUAGCUAGUUGGUAGGGUAACGGCUUACCAAGGCAACGAUGCGUAGCCGACCUGAGAGGGUGAUCGGCCAAACUGGAACUGAGACACGGUCCAGACUCCUAGGGGAGGCAGCAGUAGGGAAUCUUCCGCAAUGGGCGAAAGCCUGACGGAGCAACGCCGCGUGAGUGAUGAAGGUCUUCGGAUCGUAAAACUCUGUUAUUAGGGAAGAACAAAUGUGUAAGUAACUAUGCACGUCUUGACGGUACCUAAUCAGAAAGCCACGGCUAACUACGU
rnacentral:rRNA from 1 species